rnacentral:snoRNA from 1 species
GUGCCUGUGGGAUGAACAUGUCCCAACAUUUACUCCAUUUAUUCACUUUGUCAGCUAAUAGCCAUACAUGUUUUAUGUUUAGCUGAUCAUUAAGAAUGGGAAAUUU